rnacentral:rRNA from 1 species
AACGAACGCUGGCGGCAGGCUUAACACAUGCAAGUCGAGCGCCCCGCAAGGGGAGCGGCAGACGGGUGAGUAACGCGUGGGAAUCUACCAAUCUCUACGGAAUAACGCAUGGAAACGUGUGCUAAUACCGUAUACGUCCUUCGGGAGAAAGAUUUAUCGGAGAUGGAUGAGCCCGCGUUGGAUUAGCUAGUUGGUGGGGUAAAGGCCUACCAAGGCGACGAUCCAUAGCUGGUCUGAGAGGAGGAUCAGCCACACGGGGACUGAGACACGGCCCAGACUCCUACGGGAGGCAGCAGUGGGGAAUAUUGGACAAUGGGCGCAAGCCUGAUCCAGCCAUGCCGCGUGAGUGAUGAAGGCCCUAGGGUUGUAAAGCUCUUUCACCGGUGAAGAUAAUGACGGUAACCGGAGAAGAAGCCCCGGCUAACUUCGUGCCAGCCGCCGCGGUAAUAC